UAGUUUUUGAUUUCGUGCAAUACAAUUGUGUGGGCAUCUAAAAAUGAAGUCAAAGAAGGAGGUAGUUGAAGGCCUCAAAAUUUUGGAAGAAGAGACUGAAGAAAAGCCAUAUUUUGGAGGUGAAAGGUCUGUUUGCAUAGAUUUGGUAGUGGAGAGUACCCUAAGCUUGUGAAAUGGGUUAAGAAGUGUAUGCAAAAGGAGAGUGUGUCCAAGUCUUUAUUGAGAGAAACUUAGUCAGAUUAAUAACACUUUUGGAUGUUGUUCCUCUGUUUUUACUUUAACCAUUGUUUUUUGUUUUUUGUCCUUUGCAUCCUUCAAAGAAGCAUCUAAGAAGGACUUGAGACAAGCCAUUUUUGGAGGUGAAGAAGAAGGCUUCAGUUUCUUAAACGUAUCACUAAUUCCAUUCUAUAACUUAUUUCACACAUUUGAGACACUUGGAAACUUUAGCAUGGAAAUGGAAGCCCUAAGCUUCUAUUCAUCAGUUUUCUGUGAUUUUCCUUUUCUCGGCAUGCUGGAAGUAUUUUAAACAUGAUCAACCUUUUAGUCGGCGCUCACAUUGCAUGCAUGAUUAAUUAAUUUAUAGACUAAAACCUUCCAUAUGUAUGGUUUAUCGCUCCAUAUUUUGGUUUUUGCAAGUGGGUUUUUGAUUUUGGAUACUAAGUACCUUCAGGAUUUGUUUCAAAAUGUCCAGCGAGGAGAGGAGAAGGCAACUAAGGGACAAUGCAAGAGAGGCUGAAGAAACUGCUAAGGUUGCUGCUCUGGCAGCUGAGGCAGCUGAUAAAGUUGCAGCAACAGCUUAUGGAGCUAAACUUGUCAAGCUUGCUGAAUCGGUAGCCGCAGCUAAUCCUAUGGCAAAACCACCCACUGAUGUGAAGCAGAAUAAGCCAGUUUCAAAGGAGCAUUAGCUUGAAUCUGUUACUAUAUAUAUAGAUAUACCUAUAUUUCCCUUAUCAGUUGGUUGGUUGUUAUGAUUCUUAAUUACGCAUUAACUAAUUAAGUUGUGUUACCGACAAAUGAUCCACAAACCCUUUUAUUUUGAAUAUUGAAGCAUACUGCUUGUCUUACUUCAGUUAAUGAAUUCAAUGAAAAGAACUAUUUGCUAUUAGCAACAUGAA